rnacentral:tRNA from 2 species
GCCGCCUUAGCUCAGGGGUAGAGCAACCGCCUUGUAAGCGGUAGGUCGUCAGUUCGAUUCCGACAGGCGGCACCA